UUAAAACACCGGUACCCAUACGAUCACCUAAGUUAAGUCACGUCGAGUCUAGUGAGUACUUAGAUGUGUGACCGCUUGGAGAUAUUACGUACUGAA